GAUGAACGCUGGCUACAGGCUUAACACAUGCAAGUCGAGGGGAAACGACGGGGAAGCUUGCUUCCUCGGGCGUCGACCGGCGCACGGGUGAGUAACGCGUAUCCAACCUGCCUCUGACUGAGGGAUAACCCGUCGAAAGUCGGCCUAAUACCUCAUGGCAUCGUCUGCGGGCAUCCAACGACGAUUAAAGAUUUCAUCGGUCAGGGAUGGGGAUGCGUCUGAUUAGCUGGUUGGCGGGGUAACGGCCCACCAAGGCGACGAUCAGUAGGGGUUCUGAGAGGAAGGUCCCCCACAUUGGAACUGAGACACGGUCCAAACUCCUACGGGAGGCAGCAGUGAGGAAUAUUGGUCAAUGGGCGAGAGCCUGAACCAGCCAAGUAGCGUGCAGGAAGACGGCCCUAUGGGUUGUAAACUGCUUUUAUGCGGGGAUAAAGUGAGGGACGUGUCCUUCAUUGCAGGUACCGCAUGAAUAAGGACCGGCUAAUUCCGUGCCAGCAGCCGCGGUAAUACGGAAGGUCCGGGCGUUAUCCGGAUUUAUUGGGUUUAAAGGGAGCGUAGGCCGUGGAUUAAGCGUGUUGUGAAAUGCAGGUGCUCAACGUCUGCACUGCAGCGCGAACUGGUCCACUUGAGUGUGCACAACGCAGGCGGAAUUCGUCGUGUAGCGGUGAAAUGCUUAGAUAUGACGAAGAACUCCGAUUGCGAAGGCAGCUUGCGGGAGCACAACUGACGCUGAAGCUCGAAAGUGCGGGUAUCGAACAGG
rnacentral:rRNA from 1 species